UGCAAUGAAUCCCACGCUGAGC
rnacentral:piRNA from 1 species